UACGUAGGGUCCGAGCGUUGUCCGGAAUUAUUGGGCGUAAAGGGCUCGUAGGCGGUUUGUCGCGUCGGGAGUGAAAACACGGGGCUUAACCCCGUGCCUGCUUCCGAUACGGGCAGACUAGAGGUAUGCAGGGGAGAACGGAAUUCCUGGUGUAGCGGUGAAAUGCGCAGAUAUCAGGAGGAACACCGGUGGCGAAGGCGGGUCUCUGGGCCGAUACUGACGCUGAGGAGCGAAAGCAUGGGUAGCGAACAGG
rnacentral:rRNA from 1 species